UAUGAAAUUAUGUCAUUAAAUUACUGUUUCAUGGAAAGCCUAUAUGUGUGUUGAUCUCCCAUGAAUUAGCAGAGUUGUAACAUCUCUGCCAGGCAAGAGAGGCAAUGGUGAGUGAGCAGCAAUUAACAAUCAUUCAAAAUAAAGCUCCUUAGGACAAUACGUUUGAUCUACCUGGGAGAUGACACUUCCUCCUCUUGACUGAAGAGCAGGGGAGAGAGACUUGGGAAAAAUGGAAAAUUACCAAAAGACGGAGCAAAAGAAGCAGAUGACCCCAGUAGGAAUCUAUAAAGGGACUAUCAGGAGUGAACUGGAGGCAAACGCCAUCUUGCACCAGAAUCAGGCCAUGUGGUGACUGAGCAGAUGGAGCUAGAGAGGGCCAGAGCUGUGGAGGCUGGAGUGGAAAAGGCUGCUCGAGGAGGGACGUCAGAGUGAAAGUAGAACUGGAAUGAGAAAAGCUUGCCAACCAGGACAAACGUAGUUGGCUUGAACAGGAGAAGAGGGUCAAGUCACGCUAAUGGGACCCCAGAGGAAGGAUGUAGGUGUGCCUGACCCAGUACAGCAGUUCCUGUGUUCUUAUGUUCAGAAAUAUUUAUUGGGCUCUUCUGCUUUUGCUGCAUUAUUAUUGAUAAUUCUACCUUUUCUAUCUAGUAAUUGACCAAUACCAUUGUUAGGAUUCUUUUUUGUUCUUAAUAUACUUUUUAAAGUUUCUCCUUAUUUUCUUUAACUCUGCUGAUCAUAGAUUUCUCCUUGUGUCCCUUUGCUCCCCUUAUCAAUUUUCUACAAUUUCUAGCUUAUGAUUUAUAUCCAUUGCUAUCAACUUCCUCUUUCUUCCAUUUGUAUGUGUGUAUACAUGCGUGUGUGCGCACACAUAUCUUCCUUCACUUCCCCACUAAACCAUGUAUGUUUAUUAACCAAUGUAGCCUUCUUCCAUGAUUGUGGCUUUUUGGUCCACUACUAAAGUGUCAUUAAACAAUUCCCAAUUAUCA